rnacentral:rRNA from 1 species
AGUGAACGCUGGCGGUAGGCCUAACACAUGCAAGUCGAACGGCAGCACAGUAAGAGCUUGCUCUUACGGGUGGCGAGUGGCGGACGGGUGAGGAAUACAUCGGAAUCUACUUUUUCGUGGGGGAUAACGUAGGGAAACUUACGCUAAUACCGCAUACGACCUACGGGUGAAAGCAGGGGAUCUUCGGACCUUGCGCGAUUGAAUGAGCCGAUGUCGGAUUAGCUAGUUGGCGGGGUAAAGGCCCACCAAGGCGACGAUCCGUAGCUGGUCUGAGAGGACGAUCAGCCACACUGGAAGUGAGACACGGUCAAGACUCCUACGGGAGGCAGCAGUGGGGAAUAUUGGACAAUGGGCGCAAGCCUGAUACAGCCAUACCGCGUGGGUGAAGAAGGCCUUCGGGUUGUAAAGACCUUUUGUUGGGAAAGAAAAGCAGCAGGUUAAUACCCCGCUGUUCUGACGGUACCCAAAGAAUAAGCACCGGCUAACUUCGUG